rnacentral:rRNA from 1 species
GACGAACGCUGGCGGCGUGCUUAACACAUGCAAGUCGAACGGAAAGGCCCUGCUUUUGUGGGGUGCUCGAGUGGCGAACGGGUGAGUAACACGUGAGUAACCUGCCCUUGACUUUGGGAUAACUUCAGGAAACUGGGGCUACUACCGGAUAGGAGCUCCUGCUGCAUGGUGGGGGUUGGAAAGUUUCGGCCGUUGGGGAUGGACUCGCGGCUUAUCAGCUUGUUGGUGGGGUAGUGGCUUACCCAGGCUUUGACGGGUAGCCGGCAUGAGAGGGUGACCGGCCACAUUGGGACUGAGAGACGGACCAGACUCCUACGGGAGGCAGCAGUGGGGAAUAUUGCACAAUGGGCGGAAGCCUGAUGCAGCAACGCCGCGUGCGUGAUGACGGCCUUCUGGUUGUAAACCGCUUUCGCCUGUGACGAAGCGUGAGUGACGGUAAUGGGUAAAGAAGCACCGGCUAACUACGUG